UUUCAACGCAGCCGCUUCCUCUCCUCCUCCCAAGAGCGGCGCGCUUGAUCACCGGCCUCUCCUCCUCCCUAGCCGGUCGAUCCUCAAGCCGACGCCCGCUGGACCUCCUCCCCCAGCGGGCGUCGCGC
rnacentral:sRNA from 1 species